CAAAGAGAGACCCAGUCACUCAAGAUCAUGUCAACCAAAAUGGCGAUUAAACUCGUUGAAGCUCAGCUGGAACAAAUGCUGGAGGUACUCAAGACAUCUCACAGGUGGAUUAAGAUUGUGGGAGAAGUGGAAGCCGCACUGGAACACCGUAUAACAGAUUACGAAUUCGUUGUGGACAGAUGGCCGGAUUGCAGGGCGAUGGUUGUUCGUGCGAAGGAUAAUGACAUUCAGCUGAAGUAUCUAGAGCCG